rnacentral:lncRNA from 1 species
AUGUUAACUUCUUAAGAGACAUUGACUUUACCAUAGUGUUAACUUUAUCAAAGACGUUGACUUUUUCAAUUCAUUGACUUCUUCAUGAACAUAGACUAAGCGUCGAAUUUCUCUAGAGGCGUUGACUUUCCUGAGCCAGACGAAUAGAUGCUUAUUUCAUUCAUUAGAGGUAUUUGAUUGAAACACUUGGUUGCAUUUCCAGAGGCAACAAAGUAGAAAAUGAUUUUGCACCAUCAUAGACAUGUAUUACCCGACUUAGAAAUGUAGAUCAUAAAGGUGGUGUCUUAGAGUCUGAAGCAAAUGUGGUAACAUUUACAAACAAGGAAGAUCAUAAUGAGGUGAUGAUGGAGGAGCCAUGGUUAGUCUAUGAUCACUAUCUAACCUUUAUAGAAUGGUGCCAAGAAUUUAAACCAACUACCGUUUCUAUUGAGAAAGUGGCAGCUUGGGUUUGUAUAUUGGGACUUCCCAUUAAAUAUGAUGAUGCUAAAUUUAUUCACCGUAUUGGGGACAAAAUUGGCAGAACAAUCAAGGUAGAUAAGAAUACGUUGCCCUGGGAGAAGGGGAAGUAUGCAAGAUUGUGUGUGGAGGUUAAUCUAAAGAAAUCCUUGAUGACUAUCU